CCGCGGUAAUACGUAGGGUGCGAGCGUUAAUCGGAAUUACUGGGCGUAAAGCGUGCGCAGGCGGUUUCUUAAGCCAGACGUGAAAUCCCCGGGCUUAACCUGGGAACUGCGUUUGGAACUGGGAGACUAGAGUGUGUCAGAGGGAGGUGGAAUUCCGCGUGUAGCAGUGAAAUGCGUAGAGAUGCGGAGGAACACCGAUGGCGAAGGCAGCCUCCUGGGAUAACACUGACGCUCAUGCACGAAAGCGUGG
rnacentral:rRNA from 1 species